UGAAGGGUGAAGCAUCUUUUCUGGAUGUUCCUCUUUUGGAGCUUUAUGUUAUAGCCUCUGAAGAGCAACAAGAACACGUGUCCAUCGCAGAUACAGAAAUCAGGGCUUGCCACAUGAAGCUCAGAGUACAGUCACAGCAAGAAAAGCAACCCUUGUAACCAUGACUCGCCUAAGAUUAAUUUCACUGGAUUUCCCGAGAAUUACUUAGUAAUUUGAAAGACCAUUGAACUCCUACUGAUCUGAAAUUGAAUGGUGUAGAGCUUCUUUAAACUGCUUCUGGCAUUUAAAUGGCAUUGAAGGAAAGGAUUUCACAGCAGAUACGGAAGAUUUCUGAUAAAGUUACUUUGAGAUGAGCAUUCAGGAGAUUUUGUCCACGGAAGAAACUUGGUUGGCCAAUGGGAGCAGCAAGAAAGAAUAAGGAAA